UUACACACUGCAAGUCGAGCGGAAACGAUGGUAGCUUGCUACCAGGGCGUCGAGCGGCGGACGGGUGAGUAAUACUUAGGAAUCUACCUAGUAGUGGGGGAUAGCUCGGGGAAACUCGAUAUUAAUACCGCAUACGACCUACGGGAGAAAGGGGGCAGUUUACUGCUCUCGCUAUUAGAUGAGCCUAAGUCGGAUUAGCUAGAUGGUGGGGUAAAGGCCUACCAUGGCGACGAUCUGUAGCUGGUCUGAGAGGAUGAUCAGCCACACCGGGACUGAGACACGGCCCGGACUCCUACGGGAGGCAGCAGUGGGGAAUAUUGGACAAUGGGGGAAACCCUGAUCCAGCCAUGCCGCGUGUGUGAAGAAGGCCUUUUGGUUGUAAAGCACUUUAAGCAGUGAAGAAGACUCCGUGGUUAAUACCCACGGACGAUGACAUUAGCUGCAGAAUAAGCACCGGCUAACUCUGUGCCAGCAGCCGCGGUAAUACAGAGGGUGCAAGCGUUAAUCGGAAUUACUGGGCGUAAAGGGAGCGUAGUGGCUCGAUAAAGUCAGAUUGUUGAAAUCCCCCGGGCUCAAACCUGGGAAAACUGCAUUCUGAUACUUGU
rnacentral:rRNA from 1 species